rnacentral:piRNA from 1 species
UGAGAGAGUAAUUCUAAUUUAAGCCAACAU